CUGCAUGCCGCAACUAAGACCUGGCACACCCAAAAUAAAUAAAUAAGUAAAUAAAUAAAUAAAUUUUUUUUAAAAAAGAUGGUCUCUCACCCUACUACAGGGAAAAUAAGAAAAGCCUGAGGGCAUCCCUGUCUUUAAGAUGAUCCCAAUCUAGUUGGGAAGACAAAACUAAACACCAAAACAGAGCGUCUAGAUCUUAUUCCUUAAAUGAUAACCAUGUAAGUUUUAUAAGAGCCAUAGAUAGGAGAGAAUAAAUUCUCAAAUCUGAGUAAGCCCAGAAAUACAUAACAGUAUGUGUGUCAUUGUCUGGGACAUUUUAGCACUUCAUUGUCAAUUCUACUUUAGUUUAUGGUAGUGUUUCUCAAAGUAUGUUCCACAGACCAUCUUGAAACAGAAUCAGUAGGUGCUUGUUAAAAAUACAGAUUCCCAGCCCCACUGUAGACUUCUUUUUAAAGCAGUAAUUAUUCACCCUGGAGUUAAGAACAACAGUUUAGGAUUUAUCAUUAUUGUCCCCCUCUUUGCUACCACAUGUCUCUGAUAAACAGCAAUGUGUCCUACACACCUGUACUUCCUGGACAGGAAAGUCUGUCAGGUCAGGCCAAAGUUGAACCAAAGGAGGAAAGAAAGCGCCCGAAUAGAAAAUGGACCCAUGAAGAGCACCCUAUCCUGGUGGCUCUCUGGCCAUGGUUCCAAAUUCCUUAAGUGGCAAUGUCAGUGAUGGACCUUUAAGACAGAGGAUAGGGGAUACACUGGGAUGUUAUUUCCCACUGGUUCCCAAUAUAGAACAUAUACUCUUAUCCGGCUUCCAGCUCUUGCCAUGCUUACUCUUACCUUUGCUUAUGCUGGCAAACUCAUCCUUCCCCCUUCCUAAUUUUCUGAAUUUUUCUAGUCCUUAGGAGCCCAUUUUCUCUAAGAAGAUCUCUUUUACAUGUCCAGCUCCUACUGAUUUAUCCUUCCUCUGAAUUCCUCUAGCAAUCUGGUCACCACCACGUGGUUCAGCAUUAGCCUAAAAUUUUUUGUGUCUAUGUUGGUUUUAGCUCUCCAGCUGAAUUUUAAUCUUAAAGGCAGAGAGCAUGUCUUAUAGUUUGGUACUCCCCCUCCAUAGCUAGGUAGAGAUAUUCGUACGGGCUUCAUUGACUAAAAUAAAGGCUGGCUCUGUACCUGAGAGGCCACUUGCUCCUGAUGUCUGCUUGUCCGUCUUCAGGUCACUUCUGGGAGGCAAAACCUCCAGUAGGAUACUUAGCUGCUUUACAGACGGACAGAUUUCAUCAAGAAAGUCAGUGCCUUGAGCAGAAUUGAGGCUCCAGUUGCAAGACAGAAGAAAAAGAAGACACUAAGGCCUUAUCAGAACACUGUGUUCCUUUGCUCUAGUCAACCGUUCAGGUUUGUCCAGGGUUAAAAGCCUGAGGGAACUUCACACCAUAAGGUCAGAAAAUGUCUUCAGGGAGGCCACCUUAUAAGUCUGGUCCUGAUGAUGAAAGGUAGGAUUACACAACGAAGGACAGUGUUCCCAGUGGAGACUCCCCACGAUGUUUUCACAUGGACACUUGGGUUUUCACAAGGCAUAUCAGCUCUCCCUCCCUCCUUAUUAUCCAAUCCCAGACACUUCCAGUCCCUAUCUGUGCUAUCCAUAACUGGCAGUCACCAAAGCCUAGCUGCCUCUUACAUGACACCUCCAGCAUCUUUUUUUUAAAAAAAAGCCCUUUCUAAGUCCUAUACACUUCAUAACUAAAUACCUAAAGAAAGUAUAAGGGGACCUUUAUCUGAAGGCCGGGAAAAUAACUUGUUGAGGUAUUGCCCGAUCCUGGGAUUCUAACUUUUUUUUUUUUUUUUUUUUAACGGUACGCGAGCCUCUCACUUCCAUGGCCUCUCCCGUUGCGGAGCACAGGCUCCAGACGCGCAGGCUCAGCGGCCAUGGCUAACGGGCCCAACCGCUCCGCGGCACGUGGUAUCCUCCCGGACCGGGGCACCAACCCGCAUCCCCCAGCAUCGGCAGGCGGACUCUCAACCACUGCGCCACCAGGGAAGCCCCUAACACUUUAUAUUGAUCAGCUUUAAACCUUCUCAUCUCUGACCUCACUCUCCUGCAGGCCUGUGAGAGCGCUCCCGCUUUUUUACCAGGGAUCUCCCACUGUAAGGUCUACCCAGUGAUGGGGGCUUCAUCAGAGACUUUUCCCACCACUACCACCUUCGUAACUCCUGGGAAAAAAGGAGAGAAAACUACAAGGAUUGAUGAUUUUUCUAGUCCUCUGAAACAAGGUACAGAAUAAGUAGAGACACAGAUGAGGACCUAGAGAAGAGGCAGAAAUGGAGCAUCGUGGUCAAAUUUCUGAUUGCAGUCACCUUGUUGUUCAGGGGAAUUGCCAUUAUAGUGUUCAUCAUUUUUGAAGUCCCAUGCCCUGGUCCCUGAAAUUGUAAGAGCUUCAGAGCCCACAACCUACGUCUCCAUCCCUGCCCCUGGGUAACUCUGACAUACAACGGGUAACUCUGACAUACAACACAGUUCAGGAACCACCACACUUGAACACAGCCUGAAUACUUGGCAAAGCACCUUCUUUCUUCCCUGCCCUGGGGUUUCCUGGCAGGAUUAUAAAUCCAUAUUGCACUUUAGUGUGUAAGUCAGACACCACACCACCAGCUCAGCAUGGCUGCUUUAAAUAGUUUUCCCACCAGGAAUGGACUCAGCCUUUGACUACAAGAAAGUGAUGGGUGCCUUCUCUACAUCUAAAAACCCACUGAAACAAAGAGAUGAGGUCUCCAAUACUUUUUUAAAUUAAAGAAGGUGGCCACUUUUGUAGAAUUACAGCACUGAGAAUGGGUCUCAAAGAUUAUAUAGUCCAGGAUGGGACACACUCUUUAGUUCCAUGUCAACCGCACAUAUCAAUAAUCAAGCAGAGGACUUCCCUGGUGGCGCAGUGGUUAAGAAUCCGCCUGCCAAUGGAGGGGACAUGGGUUUAAUCCCUGGUCUUGGAAGAUCCCACAUGCCGCAGAACAGCUAAGCCUGUGCGCCACAACUACUGAGCCUGCGCUCUAGAGCCCGUGAGCCACAACUACUGAGCCCAUGUGCUGCAGCUCCUGAAGCCUACGCACCUAGAGCCAUGCUCCACAACAAGAGAAGCCACCACAAUGAGAAGCCGCGCACCGCAACUAAGAGUAGCCCCCAUUCACCGCAACUAGAGACAGCCCGUGUGCAGCAACGAAGACCCAAUGCAGCCAAAAAAUAAUAAUGAUAAUAAUAAUCAAGCAUAGUGCAACUAGAAGAUGAAUACAUUCCAGAGGUCUAGUGCACAGCAUAGAGAUUAUAUCACCAUAUUGUAUACUUCGAAAUUGCCAAGAGACUAGAUCUUAUACAUUCUCACCACAAAAAAGCAAUGAUAAUUAUGUGACGUGAUGGGAUGUUAGCUAAAGCUACCGUGGUAAUCACACUGCAAUUUACAAAUGCAUCAAAUCAACACGCUGGACACCUUAAACUUACACAAUGUUACAUGAAAAUUAAAUCUCAAUUUAAAAAAAUCAAGCAUGGGGCUUCCCUGGUGGCGCAGUGGUUGAGAAUCUGCCUGCCAAUGCAGGGGACACGGGUUCGAGCCCUGGUCUGGGAAGAUCCUACAUGCCGCAGAGCAACUGGGCCCGUGAGGCACAACUACUGAGCCUGUGCGUCUGGAGCCUGUGCUCCGCAACAAGAGAGGCCGUGAUAGUGAGAGGCCCGCGCACCGCGAUGAAGAGUGGCCCCCGCUUGCAACCCUCACACAGAAACGAAGACCCAACACAGCCAAAAAUAAAUAAAUAAAUAAAUAUUUAAAAAAAAAAAAAAUCAAGCAUGGCACUCUUUCCACCCAGGCAUGGCAUCAAUCUUUUUUAUCACAGUGCUUUAGGUAUCCAAUGCCAACUUAUUUGUCAUCUCUGGUCUAGGUUAAUAUUUUCUAUAAUCCUGUUUCUGCUAAUGUUAGAUGAUGAGCCCAGGUAAAUCAGUAUAAUUCUAUAAUUUAGUGUAUUUUUAGUUCUUUAAUCCAAUCAACAUUAUCAUUUCUACUGAACAUUGAAAGAAAUAGGCCUGAAGGGGACUAAAAAGUCUAGUCCAGAAUUAGAAGAAGCCACGUAACAGCAACUCUGAUUGAAUUUCUCCCAUGAACAAAAUAAGAUACUAAAUGAUAAAGGAAUUAAUUUUAAAAAAGAAAUUUUAUACACACUGCCUCAUUUGAGCCUCAUAAAAAUCCUGGGAAGUAGCUAGGGUAGGUAUCUACAUCUUACUGAUACUUAAACUAAGGCUUAGAAAGGUUAUUGACUUUCCCAUGGUCACACACCUAGUGGAAACAGAACUAAAAUUCAGGUCUUUUAAUUCCUAUACUGGAUUUAUUGGCAUAUUCAUCUCUUCCACAAAAUUUUACUGAAACCCUUGAACUGAAGCUCCCCGCCUUCAAGAGGCUUAGAGUCUAUGUUCAUAAACAGUUAAGCAUUUAGAAAGUACAUACAAAAUCAGGUGGGGCACGGUAUAAUGAGAGUGGGAUGGGAUUAGUAAAAAAUAUGUGGUCCACAUUGACCCAGAUCUUUGCCCCUUCUCAAACAGAGUGAGAUUGUUUGGGCCUGAUUCCAGGAAUGAAGUCGAAUCCCUGUGCAUCUGGGAUCCAAAGUAGCUGCACAUCCAGGGCCCUUUCCAUUCAAGGCAAAUCGGUCAAACAAGGGAUGGCUGGGCUGUUUAUUAGGAGGUUAUUGGUUUCAACAAACUGUAGGUUCUCAUACAUAAGUGCACUUUGCCGAUACUUUCGCAGUGUAAAGCACAAUAACUUUUCCUAGAAUUGAUGGGUAACAAAGGCGAAAUGAUGUGCACAGGGUUUAGUACUAAGCUAUCUCUUUGUUGGUACAUUAAGAAAUACCCAUUUGCAUCCUUCUUUAUCUUUCAUAUUUCCUUUCAAUCUCUAGCUUGGACAAGAUGCUCCCAAAUCAUCAAGCCCCAAGAAAGCUGCAGAGAUCACUGUGGUCCAUGAGACAUACUUCUGAAAAGUUCUGCUCUGCCUCACACACUGAAUGAAAGAUACUACAUUGUCUUCUCCCUACUAUUAAUCAGUAUGGGCAGAUUCUUGCUAA